rnacentral:lncRNA from 1 species
GUGAGCCCAGGACCUGCCACACUGUGCCAGCCUCGCCCAAGCCACCCCCCAGCCAGGACGCGGUCUUUCCUGACUCAGCAGGCUGAGGCACCUGAGGCUUUCAUUUUAAUUAUGAACCACUUCAAAGCCUUUCUGGAAGCAGUCUCUGCAAUAACCAACCUGGGUUCUCUCCUAAUGUGGGGAUUGUCCUGGAGCCCAGGCCUUCCAAGGCUCCUCCGCCCGCCAACAUCACCUACCUCAUCUUCCUCUUCAGCACAUCCCCAACAUUGUCUAAGCGGUAACUCACCUGAGCAAAGCACUUGACACGGAUUCAUUCAUUUACUCCUCACAACAACCUGAUGAGGUAGGUACUAUUAUGUCCAUUUUACAGGUGGCAAAAACAAGGCCUAGAGAGGUGAAGUAACUUAUCUGUCUAAGGUUACACAGGUUGGUAGUGGGCCCAAGGUUCAAAUUCCAGCAGUCAGGCUGGGCGCGGUGGCUCAUCCCUGUAAUCCUAGCACUUUGG